rnacentral:rRNA from 1 species
CCUACGGGAGGCAGCAGUGAGGAAUAUUGGUCAAUGGGCGCAGGCCUGAACCAGCCAAGUCGCGUGAGGGAAGACUGCCCUAUGGGUUGUAAACCUCUUUUAUAAGGGAAGAAUAAUGACUACGUGUAGUCAGAUGCCCGUACCUUAUGAAUAAGCAUCGGCUAACUCCGUGCCAGCAGCCGCGGUAAUACGGAGGAUGCGAGCGUUAUCCGGAUUUAUUGGGUUUAAAGGGUGCGUAGGCGGUAUUUUAAGUUAGUGGUAAAACGUCGGGGCUUCACCUUGAUUGGCCAUUAAAACUGGAGUACUAGAGUACAGACGAGGUAGGCGGAAUAAGUUAAGUAGCGGUGAAAUGCUUAGAUAUAACUUAGAACCCCGAUAGCGAAGGCAGCUUACCAGACUGUUACUGACGCUGAAGCACGAGAGCGUGGGUAGCGAACAGGAUUAGAUACCCCAGUAGUC